rnacentral:rRNA from 1 species
GAGUAACGCGUGGGUAACCUGCCUCAUACCCUUGGAUAACAGUUAGAAAUGACUGCUAAUACCGCAUAAGACCACGGUACCGCAUGGUACAGUGGUAAAAACUCCGGUGGUAUGAGAUGGACCCGCGUCUGAUUAGGUAGUUGGUGGGGUAACGGCCUACCAAGCCGACGAUCAGUAGCCGACCUGAGAGGGUGACCGGCCACAUUGGGACUGAGACACGGCCCAGACUCCUACGGGAGGCAGCAGUGGGGAAUAUUGCACAAUGGAGGAAACUCUGAUGCAGCGACGCCGCGUGAAGGAUGAAGUAUUUCGGUAUGUAAACUUCUAUCAGCAGGGAAGAAAAUGACGGUACCUGACUAAGAAGCCCCGGCUAACUACGUGCCAGCAGCCGCGGUAAUACGUAGGGGGCAAGCGUUAUCCGGAUUUACUGGGUGUAAAGGGAGCGUAGACGGCACGGCAAGCCAGAUGUGAAAGCCCGGGGCUCAACCCCGGGACUGCAUUUGGAACUGCUGAGCUAGAGUGUCGGAGAGGCAAGUGGAAUUCCUAGUGUAGCGGUGAAAUGCGUAGAUAUUAGGAGGAACACCAGUGGCGAAGGCGGCUUGCUGGA